rnacentral:rRNA from 1 species
AGAUUGAACGCUGGCGGCAGGCCUAACACAUGCAAGUCGAGCGGUAGAGAGGUGCUUGCAUCUCUUGAGAGCGGCGGACGGGUGAGUAAUGCCUAGGAAUCUGCCUAGUGGUGGGGGAUAACGUUCGGAAACGGACGCUAAUACCGCAUACGUCCUACGGGAGAAAGCGGGGGACCUUCGGGCCUCGCGCCAUUAGAUGAGCCUAGGUCGGAUUAGCUAGUUGGUGAGGUAAUGGCUUACCAAGGCGACGAUCCGUAACUGGUCUGAGAGGAUGAUCAGUCACACUGGAACUGAGACACGGUCCAGACUCCUACGGGAGGCAGCAGUGGGGAAUAUUGGACAAUGGCGAAAGCCUGAUCCAGCCAUGCCGCGUGUGUGAAGAAGGUCUUCGGAUUGUAAAGCACUUUAAGUUGGGAGGAAGGUUGUAACUUUAAUACGUUGCAACUUUGACGUUACCGACAAGAAUAAGCACCGCUAACUUCGUGCCAGCAGCCGCGGUAA